rnacentral:rRNA from 1 species
CCGCGUGCAGGAAGACGGCCCUAUGGGUUGUAAACUGCUUUUAUACAGGAAGAAACACCUCUACGUGUAGAGGCUUGACGGUACUGUAAGAAUAAGGAUCGGCUAACUCCGUGCCAGCAGCCGCGGUAAUACGGAGGAUCCAAGCGUUAUCCGGAAUCAUUGGGUUUAAAGGGUCCGUAGGUGGAUAAUUAAGUCAGGGGUGAAAGUCUGCAGCUCAACUGUAGAAUUGCCCUUGAUACUGGUUGUCUUGAGUCAUUAUGAAGUAGUUAGAAUAUGUAGUGUAGCGGUGAAAUGCAUAGAUAUUACAUAGAAUACCAAUUGCGAAGGCAGAUUACUAAUAAUGUACUGACACUGAUGGACGAAAGCGUGGGGAGCGAACAGGAUUAGAUACCCUGGUAGUCCACGCCGUAAACGAUGGAUACUAGCUGUUCGGAUUUAUCUGAGUGGCUAAGCGAAAGUGAUAAGUAU